AAAAGUGUAAACUGAUGUAUGCAACAUUUUUUUCAAAACCAGCAAGAAGUAAGGGAAUAUACCAGUGACUGCCUCAUCAAGGAAAUAGGUAAACAACACCCAGCAGAACAGAAAAUGAGGGAUGGUGGACAUGAAGGAAGAAAUUCAGCCACACAGGGGAAGCUUGAUUACCAAAACAACCAUGUUUGAGGCAAUGCUUGGCUCUGGAGCUCCAAUGUGGCCCUAACAACACAGAAGUAGAACCAUGAAGAUACACAAGAUUAGGGCUUUUCUUGGGCUUCAGAUCAUCAUCCAGAAAGUCUUUUUUUGGAGAUCAAAGGUAUUUAUCACCAAGUAAACUUUUAAGGACCUGGCUCCAAACAUCAUGAGGGGGAUGGACACAAGACUACACCAUCACAGAAAUGGCAACCAAGUGAUGUCACAGAUCCAAGUGGUUACAUGUGGAAUACGUAGCAGAAAAGACCCCUCAGGGACUAAUAUGGGAAUCCAAUGGUGGACUCCUACUGAGAGGUAGGGCAGAGUGACAAACAUGGCAGAUUGGAGGUGCAUGGGGCAGAGACCUUGCCAAUCCUGUUCAAUUCUAUCGCAAGAACCAAAUUCAGAUCCUGACACAUGGGAGGCCCAUAAUGAGUAUUUGGUUACAUUUUGAAUGAAUGAUUUCUUUCUCUUAAAGGCUAACAAGGACCUGUGUAGACAGAUUUACUUACUUGAGUUUUACCAAAAUGGCAUUCCUUCACCCUUACUGACUCCUUCCAUUAUCACUGUAAAGUUAUCAUUUGUAGUAGAUCCAAUAAAAAGAUCAUUAUCU
rnacentral:lncRNA from 12 species